AUAUAACCAGCGUCUAUAUAAAAAAAAAGAAGAUUUUGUUUUUUCAACAACGGAUCUCUUGGUUCUGGCAUCGAUGAAGAACGCAGCGAAAUGCGAUAAGUAAUGUGAAUUGCAGAAUUCAGUGAAUCAUCGAAUCUUUGAACGCACAUUGCGCCCGCCAGUAUUCUGGCGGGCAUGCCUGUUCGAGCGUCAUUUCAACCCUCAAGCUCUGCUUGGUGUUGGGGAUCGGCAAGGCGUCCUCCGGGUCGCGCCGUCCCCCAAAUAUAGUGGCGGUCUCGCUGUAGCUUCCUCUGCGUAGUAAUACACCUCGCUCUGGAGUCUCGGUGCGACCACGCCGUAAAACCCCCAACUUUUUUCUGGUUGACCUCGAAUCAGGUAGGACUACCCGCUGAACUUAAGCAUAUCAAUAAGCGGAG
rnacentral:rRNA from 1 species